AUGGUUUUGAUAUCCGUCCUCGUCGGUCCUCGUCCUUGUUAUGAUUCGGAUGUGGAGGUAUGUGAACCGGAAAUUCCAACCGACCCUAUUAUCGAGAGGUUAAAUUUAGUUGAAAGAGAAAAUGAGUAUUUGAAAGAAAAAUUGAAAAGAAUUGAGGGGGAGAAGAUGGAAUUGGAGUUGCAUGUUGCCGAUGUCGUCGAUGAUCACAAGAUCAAGAUGGAGAAAAUGAGGUUGAAGAUUAGAAAGAUUAGAAAAUAUGCCAUUGAUAGUGUGGCUUGGUAUCAUUAUGAUGUUGGAUCAAUUGUUACCUUAGUUGCGAUCUUGAUCGCAUUUGUUGUUGAAUUUAAAUUCUUUAGCUAG
rnacentral:rRNA from 1 species